rnacentral:lncRNA from 1 species
AUCCCAGCCUUCAAGGAUCUUACAUUCCUACUGGGGAGACAACAUAUAUAUAUAUAUAUAUAUAUAUAUAUAUUAGUGAUAGGAACAGACCUAUAAUUUCAUUGGUAUCGCCUAUACCAAACAGGGGUCCCCAAACUUUUUAAACAGGGGGCCAGUUCACUGUCCCUCAGACCAUUGGAGGGCCAGACUAUAAAAACCUAACCUAACCAGGCAGCAAUAUACACAGUGUGGAAUCCCCUCCCCCAGAUCACUGCUCACCAUGCUGAUGUCUUCCAUUGUGCCGCCACAUAAUCUUUUGCACUGGCGCCUCGUUCUAAGGAUCCACGCAAAGGAUUAUGUCACCGGAAGUAGUACUGUACAGGAGCAACACAGUGCUUUGCGGAGCAGCCACCUACAGUGCUCCUCUCAUGGACCACCAGUGAAAGAGAUGUUCGGAGGUGUCAGAAGUGAGGAGACUCUGGAAAUGAGCUGCUGUGAGACCUCGAUGGGGGCCAUUUGGGCGUUCCGUGAAAACUUGAAGUCCAUGAUGCCUCCCAGGCUCCUGUAACAACAUAUCCACCUGGGGGUUGAACUUGGGCAAAAGUAUUAUAUCACUUAAAUUUUGAUUGAGUUAAUUCAUAUCAAAAUGCCUAUUUUAAAGAAGAAGAAAAAAGAAAUUCAUACAUUAUGGAGCCACAAAUUCUUAACCAAAUAUAUUGUCUGAGUCUAUGAGAGAAAACAUUAGCAAAGAUUUUGGGCUUGUUCAAACAGGGAAAGGGAGGCCUGAUGGGACUUGCACAGAUGGAAGAAG